UGGAUGAUUGAGUUUACUGCAUUCUAGUAAUUAUCCUAGAAACAUAUGCCAAAGUGUAACAAUUCAUGACUUCUCAAUAAGUAGCUUGUGAUUUUUGGGUUAAAGCAUAUUAAGAUAGUUUUCAUAUGUGAAUGGCAUCUAUCCUAUGUAAUAUUCUCCUUUUAACAAGCUUGGCAAUGGGUUGGGCCUGGGCCAGCAAAUUCAAAUUCAAAAUCCAGGCCAACCUUCGACUAUCAUGAAGCAAUAUAAUUUUGUGCAUUAUGAUUCCUCUUUCAUUACAACUGUGGCCAACAUCAAACAACAUUAUGUUCUAAGUAUUUAUUUAUAUUUGAUUGAUUGUUCUCAUGGUUUCUUAAUUAUGCAGGUCAGCCGCCUUUUGGACCUGAUAUUUCACAGUCUAUAUAACCACAAGGAAGUAUUUCUCCGGGAGCUUGUAAGACAUAUACAGGUGUUAAACAUGAGUACUAGACGCAGGGUUAGGCAAUCUGUAGGCCCUAUGACUGAUAGCACCAGCCAACCUCAGCUGCCUCAGGUUACUAGUGAUUCAACGUCCAAGAAAACAAAGACUCGAGGCCCCACGCGAUGCUUUGAUGUUUGGAAAAAGCGUGAAGGUCAACGGAUAUCUAUUUCCGUCAAUGAUCUAGGGCAGCCCAUUUGUGACAAUGCUAGUAAGCUGACAAAUUUCAUAGGGACACUAGCACGCAAUGGGGAAUAUGCUCCCCUUACAUUUAAUGAUUGGAGGGCGGUGCCGAAUGCAAAGAAAGAUGAUAUGUGGGGGCUUGUCACGUCCAAGUUUGAGUUUGACGGUAAUGCUAAGGCUUGGGUGUUGAAGUCAAUUGGUAAAAAAUGGAGGGAAUGGAAGGGCGAGCUGAAGAAACUCCACUACUCUUCUCAUGAGAUUGAUGAGGAGCGGCUCGCAGAUCUUGAUGAGCGGGUCCAAGAGGAUCAAUGGAAGAUUCUCGUUCAGUUUUGGAACUCUGAAGAGGGGAAGGCUCGUUCUAAAACAAAUACAAAGAGUCGGAAGAAACAACUGAUUAACCAUGCAGCAGGCUCGAAGAGUUUUGCGCGAAUACGUGAGGAAGAGAGGAAAAAGGCCAAUGGGGAGGGUCCGAGCCGAGCAGAUAUGUUUAUAUUGACUCAUACAUGCAAAGAUGGAAAGCCUGUGGAUGAGGCCUCAUCAGUAGUAAUGACAAAACUCAAUGAAGAAAUAUCUCAGCAACCUGGGGCCUCACAGAGUAGCACGAUAAGGAAUGAUCUAUUAUCUCAAGUCAUGGGAGAAGAUAGGCAUGGUCGUGUCCGCACUUAUGGGUUAGGACCAUCUCCAUCUGAUUUGUGGGGCACAACAUCCAGCCAGCAAAGGAUGGCCUCCAUUGCUCAGAGAAGAGAUGAAAGAUAUGAUGAACUACAUGCUGACAUAGUCUCUCUAAAAGAAAAUAUAGCUGCACUCUCAUCCUUAAGAGAAGCUGAAAUGUCAUCCCUCAAAGAAACUAUGGUUGAAAUCUCAUCCACAAGAGAUGCUGAAAUUUCUUCCUUAAAAGAAACUCUGAUGAAAUUGAUAGCCACUAUGAAUAAUGCAAACAAUAACCCACCCACAGUAUUCGGUGUUGCAGCUAGUUCUAACAUGAACCAACCGUCCUCAUUAUCAAGACAUUGGGUGACCUAUCGGAAACGCUCGACGAAUAAGGGGAAGACCACGAGUUGUACUAGUGCCGGGGAUAUGACUGGAGUUAGUCUUACAAGUAUCAUGAAACCUGGGGUUACUAUUGCUAAAGGAGUUGUUUUGAGCAAGGAUCCCCUCACAAAAGUAGGGGGGCAUGAACUUGGAAUUGGUUUUUGGGAAGUAUUAAUUCAUGUGGCAAUAGUACGGGAUGAGGUUUUGAUAAGACCCUAUGGACGAUAUAAAACAAUUGGGGAUGCUAUUGGAACGAGUAUUGUUUGGCCUUCUAUUUUAUGUAAGGUUUAAGGAGAGAUGGAUUGAGCUAAAUGAAAGGACCUCUCUCUUUCUCUCUUGUAAAUAUUUUAAAUUUUGUGCAUGGGUUCAGGAUUGAUGUGUGAUUGGUUUUGGAUAGAAAGUGUUUGACUCUAAUUUUGCAAUUUGGAUUGACUUAAGAUCCAAUGCAUAUGAUAGGAGGGCGUCUACCUUUUUUAGCAUGUUUUUUGAGGCAGUAUUAGAUGAUGGAAGCAAAGUGAAGGAGAACAACUACAUUUAUGUAAUUUUCACUAAUGAAUCCAACAUUGAGCGCGGGAAGAAUAAAAGACAGCAAGCUGUUGACUCCAAAAUUGGAUGUCUCAACAAUUUCAUUAAGGG